CGAUCGAGGUACACUAGAAAUGGACUACUUGAUGAAUGUGCUAAGGUACAUAGUAAAUUGAAUUUGUGAGGAUUGCUAAGUAAUUUUAUAAUAUAUUUACACACCUGUUUAUUGUAUUUAACUAACCAAACCAUAUAUUUGUACAUAACGUUAAUGACAAGAACAAAAUGUGAAUAAACAAAGAAAGAAGUAAUAUGAAAUACCAAAGGUUAACUCCCAAAAUAUUGACUUUUUAUUUCAAAUUGACGCAUACCUCCACUUAAAAAAUCUGAACCAACUAAACGAUGUCGAAAGGUAUUUAAUUACAUAAUAUUACAAAUUAAGGGUUUCGGAGUUUUCAAGGGUUACUUCUGAAGUAGUGGGUGCUUCAGAAGUAAUGUUUGCGGUUUCUGUUUUGGUAGCUGAAUCAUUCUCAGAGUUCUUAGGAGCACGUCUCGUUUUUUUAGCUUUUACAUGAUCUGAAGGUAAAUCGAAAUUCCGUCUUAAUUUCGUCCUUAAUCCAGGCAAAGCGUAAUUAACCUUUUUCCGUUCCCUUCGGCUCCUUCCAUCAGGUUUUUCAUUUGGCUCAUUGACUACUGUACUUUCUUCAGAAGUUUCUUGAAUCCGAGCUUUUCUUCGCCUUUUCACUUUUGUUUCUCUUCGCGACUGAGUUUUCGUCACACGAUCGUUCUCAUUAGGGGAUUUCAAAUUCGUUACAGAUGACAGAAGUUCCAAAUUAUUAUAGGAGCCCGUAUCGUUGGUAGCAAAGGAGCUACGUGACGGCUCAAUUUCGUAAGGUCGAUCUUCAGCAUUCAAUAUUCCUUGUAGCGAUGGCGGACGUAACGGAGAAUUAUUGGGAUGGGCUAUUGAAAAUCCAUUUGAAGAUGGAGGUUCACUUGACAGUCUCAUGGGAGGAUUUCGAAAAAGUGUUAAAAUUUCCCGCUCUUCGUCGGUAAAAGAUUUAGGAUUCAGUCCAAUUUUGUUAGAGUCAUUCAUUAUUUCUACAGAAAAUUUUUCGUUCCCAUUAGUGACAGAAGAGUCUACUAACCCGUUUAUUUCCCUUGGAGUGUCUGUACGAGGAGAUUCAGCAACAGUCAUAUUUGACAGAGAAGUCGUCGUAACCUGAGGCCCAACAUUCUCUUGUGAAGUUAAUGAAUUAUGCGCAGUAUCUUCAGGCGCAAACUUCAACGAUAUGGAGCUAUUUAAAUUAGGAUCUGAAAUAUGAUGCCCAUUUCGGUUACUUUUAUUUGAAGAUUGCACAAGAAGGACAGCAGAAUCCAAAGAGUUUGCGCGAUUGGGGCGACUAUCGGUCUCCGAUACAUAACCGGUAACAUUGGUAGCUGCAGAAGCCAGAUUAAUUUGUUUAUUUUGAAUGUCAACGUCCCAUUUCCGUUUAGUGGGUGUACUUUGUAUUACUGUAUCAGAUUGUAUUCUGCUAUGAAAAUGAGCUUCUUGUGAACCCUCAUUUUCUUCUUGAGCAACUCCAUUUGCAUUAUCUUCUUCGGUUCUUCUUUGUGCAGCUGCUUGAUUAUUAAUUUUGUUGGAUAAUGAUUUUGGACUAACGAUUUCGUAUUCAUGAUUUUUUUCCUGAGGAGCAGAAUCGAUAGAUUUAUUUUCAGAAGUAACCGCUUCAACUCUAUCUUCAUUAUUAUUAUUUACAGGUUUCGAAUUGGAUAGAUUGUAAGGAUUUUCAAAAUCAGCUGGGAGGGCUUUGCCGGAUUUUAGCUGAGGUGCUGAUUGCGUGUCGGAAAAAACAUUAGCUUCUCUUUUUUUUUGUUCAUUUAUAGCAGUUUCUCCGUCAUCAAUUAUAUUUUCAUCCUCUAUUCCACUUAAAUUUCGUAAGGAAACAUCAUGCUGAGCUUGCUCAAUUAUUUCUUCGGUAUCUUUCACGACGGAUUCCUUUCAGACGUUAGAUAAACAUAUCUGAAAAACAUAAUACGAUUCAACUUACCUCGUCAAGGUCUUCAGAAUCCGUAUCGACAUCGUAAGCUAAGUUAGCCUCCACUGGUUUGAAGGUGUCUGUGUUCAAUUAGCUAAAAACGAUAUGAAUUCAAACACGUACCUUGUAUUUCUUGCUGACAAAGACUUAAUUUUGAUAAAAAAUUAUCUGUUUCUUCAUGAAAUCGAUUAAGUAAUGCAGCUAACUUUGUUUUGUUUUCUUCGUUUUCGUUUUGCACGGUUUCGAGUUGCUCUUCCAAGUUUAUCGCUGUAGUCCUCAAAUCGAUAUUUUCCGAAAGCAACCGUUCAUUUUCUAACUGCAAUUCUUUAAUUCUAAUUGAUUGUGCCUUGCUUAUUCUUUGUAUGUGUUAAUUAAUUAUUCAAUUCCAACAAAAAUGUAUGCGUACCGUAUAAUUUCCUUAUACUGUCGAAUUUGCUUUUUUUUCACUAAUUCAUCAGUUGAGAUUAAUAUAAGUAUCACGUACAGUCUUCUACGUUCGGGGAAAGAGAUGCUUUCGACAUUAUAAAUAGAAAAUCCCGAUGUACUUCAUUGACCACGUUCCCGGUGGAGGUUUAGUACUUAAACGCGGCUGUACAGCAGUAUCAUUAUCAACAAGGUGUAGAGGUGCUGGAUAGUCGAAGUACGAAUUAUUUGACUACUAAUGAUACACUCUUUGAAAAGAACAUUAAAAUCCUUUUACAUUUACUAUACUUUGAAUUUACGAAUAGAUAGAUAACUAAAGAAAGAACUACCAUUCACUAAUCCUUUCAGUGGUAUUAAUAAAUGUUCAAAGAGAAAAAUAAUUAGCUAUUAAAAAUAUUAAUUAUUAAAAAUCAAGCUUGAUUGAAAUAUGUCAAAACGAGUAGUACAUGGAGUACUUAGUCGACAUGUGAUUUAGUCGUGAAUUAAUCUUGACCACGAAAAAUUAUUAAUUAAAUUCAAUCAAAUUAUAACCCCCAACUUUCCUCUACGUUAUUUUCUGUUUCCUCUUCGUCAUUCCAGUUUUCCAUCCAAGAUUCGUCUAUCUGUUCCUCUGUUUCAAAAAGAGGAUUAUUGAAUUCAUCCUUAGAGUUUUCAGUGUUUCCAACAACUCUACUUUUUGAAUUUUUUUUUUCUUUUAUUUCAGUGGUAUCAUUUUUUAACUCAAGCGACUCCUUUUUCAUAUCGAUAGAAGGCGAAGGAGAAGCAGAAGAUGAAUGAAUAAAUUUGGACCAAAAAGAACCAUUAAAUUUUGCCGGUGCGGAAACAUUUUCUUUUUCCCCUAAAUUAAAGUUUUUUAUACGGCUCAAAAAUUGGUCAGUGACAUCCUCAGCUGUUCUUCGUAUUCCUCUAAUAACGUCAAAAAGUUAGUAAUUCCUAAGUGGUAUACAGGUUCAAAAAAAUCUUACUCGUUUUCAUCAAUUAGUAAUGGCACCACCGAUGGGAAAAGUUUGAUGGCCACAUCCUUUGUAUCAAAGUAAUUUUGAACUGAGAGGAGUACUUUUAAGGCUGCCUCUCUAGCAGGAACAAAUGGGUCUUUAAGAGAACGUGAUAAAGCAGCAGCUAAAACGGGUUUUCGCACCUAAAUCUGUUAAAAAUAAAGUCCUAACGUUUAGUUCUUCUUAGUCUUACGCUGGCAUCUAAAUAUUCAGCAAUUUUACCUAGACAAAUGGUACUGUUGGUACGUAAAGUAGGAUGUUGGUCAUUUUGGACAACCGCUAAGCUUCGUAGUAGUUCAUUAUUCAAUGUUUUCUUCGAAAGCUGUAUACUAAUUAGCAAUUUGUAAGAUAAGAUGGCUUACUUUUGGUGCUAUAAUGGAAAAAACAACAAUAGCAUGUUCUUUUAAGGUGGGAGAAUUGGAGCGCACAAGGUUCGCGAAAACUGAAAAGCUAGUGUCUUCAUAUAUAUUCUUUGGUAGCACGUCGGGAUUGUUAAUGAUUCCGGAAAGUAGCAAGCCUCGUAUGGGAACGCUUUGUUGUUUCAAAAGAGACAAUAACGGUACUCCAAAGUCUUUUUCUAUAUCCGGUCUUCCUUUUACAAUUUGAGCACAUUUGAAUAGAAGCUCAACGACGUCCGAAUGGGUGUCAAUCGAUAAUAGUAGAAAGAGGAUGUUUAAUACAACCUUUUGUAUAUAGUUUUUAGGAAUUACUUCUAGCUUUGACGAAAGAAGUUGUUUUAAUUUCACUCUAUCUUCCUCUUCGUUUAUUCGAACCUCGGACAAAAGUUCAUAUAACGUAAUCAAAUGUGUACGAAAAAACCCCCCAGGACGCUCGCCAAGUUUUAGAAAUUCUGAAGCUAAUAACUUUUGCUUUCCUUCCACAUUCAACAGUUUUUUUGCAGAAACAAAUAUAUUGGCUGGAAUGUUUCCACGCUGAGAUAAGUCCCCUGGCGUUCCAUUAUAAAGAUGAGAAAUGAACUUUCCCAAUUCAUAAGAAUCCAAGUAAAUGAAUGAAGCACUAUUUAAUGUUGAAGACUGAAUUUCAAACGGAACCAACCGACUCCAGUUCAGAAUUUUGUCAUGAUUAUCCUUUAUAAAUUGUGGUGAAUCACCUGCUAAGAAAAAGUCGCCUAUUAUCCAUUCAUCUGCACUAUUAAGAUAAACAGAAGACAUUUGAAGGUUUCCAUGAACAAUAUUUUUAUCAUUGAGAAAUGACAAUGCAGCCUAAACACGUUUAAAUUAGUUUUAAUCCACAUUUUGAACUCAAAUUACAUACCGAAACCCUCCAAAGGCCGUAAGUUUUUAUUUCCGCAGAUAGUUCAUUCAGUUCAGUUGUGACAGGUCUUACAGUUUCCGUUGCAAUGUACAAGU